GGGGAGGUUUACAUUGGUAAGUUAAAGUAUCUGCUAAAUACUGGUUAAUUCCUUGAAGGUUCGAUUCCUUUUCUUCCCA
rnacentral:tRNA from 1 species